rnacentral:piRNA from 1 species
UGGCUUAUGGUUGUAGAGGUUAGAGUCCGU